CACUAAGAAGCUAUUGAGCAACAGCCUUUUAAGCUGCAGACAGGUGACCCCUCCACCCUCAGUGA
rnacentral:tRNA from 1 species